CAGACUUUGCCUCAGGGAAUAACUUACAGUUCAAAGUGUGGUGAAGCAAGAGCGUGGAAUAGAACUGCAUCAGCUCUUCCUAAGGCAUCUGCAUUUGAGACCUAAAGGAGGUAACAUCCUGCGCUCUGGAUGGCAAUAUCAGUCCUGAAAUUCCCUGCCCCCCCUGCUGUGACACCUGCACAGUGAAAGUGGGUUUGUAAUUGAGUGUGUUUUUGUUUUAUUUGGUCUUUGGGUGAAUGUGGUGUGCUCAGUGGAUUUAAGUUCUUCGUCUGUCUGUGUUCUCUCUCUUCUCUAGUGGAGCCAGUGGGUGUUAACCAGCACUCCAGUUUUGGUGCCAGUCCUCACCUGCUGGUAGUUACCAAUCACACACCUGACCUGAAUACUCCAUGCUGACUAUCAGAGGAGAGACCAGAUUUCUAAUCGCGUUGGAUUGUUAAGUACCUGUUGUAAUCAACUGGUCUGUUUGAGACCUACUUUGGCUCCUUGUAGAAACCUCAAUAAAGUAAUGUAAUAAUGUCA